rnacentral:rRNA from 1 species
UACGUAGGUGGCAAGCGUUGUCCGGAUUUAUUGGGUUUAAAGGGUGCGUAGGCGGCCCUGUAAGUCAGUGCUGAAAGCCCCCGGCUCAACUGGGGAGGGUCACGCGAUACUGCUCGACUCGAAGGCAGGAGAGGGAAGUGGAAUUCCCGGUGUAGUGGUGAAAUGCGUAGAUAUCGGGAGGAACACCAGUGGCGAAGGCGACUUCCUGGCCUGUUCUUGACGCUGAGGCGCGAAAGCUAGGGUAGCAAACGGG